GACAGAGGGUGCAAACGUUGCUCGGAAUUACUGGGCGUAAAGCGCGUGUAGGCGGUUCCGCAAGUCAGGUGUGAAAGCCCCAGGGCUCAACCCUGGAAGUGCACUUGAUACUACGGAGCUUGAGUACUGAAGAGGAGAGCGGAAUUCCCGGUGUAGAGGUGAAAUUCGUAGAUAUCCGGAGGAACACCGGUGGCGAAGGCGGCUUCCUGGACCGACACUGACGCUGAGGCGCGAAAGCUAGGGGAGCAAACGGG
rnacentral:rRNA from 1 species